UCCCAUUCUUGGAGGUAUUUUCGUUCCCCUCCUCUCUUGCUCCUUCUGCCAACGCUCGCUCCAUCCUGCCUCUCUGAGCUCCCUCCUUGCUCUUCCACUGGGGACAGAGCAUCCCUUUGGGACACCCAUUUCCACUCUUGCUCCACCUUCUCUCCAUAUCUCACAGAUGUCCCUGCAUGGCACCAAUGGCUCUGCCUGAGUGGACCAGAGCGGAACCAGCAUCACCCACUGCUUCCUCCAAAGAUCCAGCCCUGGUGCACAUAACCUCACUCCUCAUUAGGCAUCACAGCGUGAUAAAGGUCAACCCGGACAGACAAUGCCACCAGUGCCUGUUUGAUAUGUGAGUGCUAUUGGCGUCCAUUGCCACCGUUUCCCUGGUAACACAGUAACCAUUAAUUUUCAAUUAAAGUAGACAAAAAGCCCGAUGACAGCUCCAGGUCUGCUGAAGAUGUCAAGAAUCCGUAUUAAUAUACAGCAAGAGAGCAUAAUUGUGUGUCCAUCUUCCCGAGCAACGAAAAUGGAGGGAUAAUUACCAGCUAGAAAGCCACUCUGUAAUUUUGUUCUUAC
rnacentral:lncRNA from 14 species